UCUCCGUAGGUGAACCUGCGGAGGGAUCAUUACCAGAGAUGGCGGGCUUCGGCCCCCGUCCCCAACCCUUUGUUGACCCCAUUACCUUUUGCCUCGGGGGCAGAGCGGCCGCGAGGCUCGCCGCCCCCGGUGGACCACUUAACUCUGUCUCUGUACGUCGGAGUCUUGAUAAAUCAAACAAAAACUUUCAACAACGGAUCUCUUGGUUCUGGCAUCGAUGAAGAACGCAGC
rnacentral:misc_RNA from 1 species